rnacentral:lncRNA from 1 species
UCGAGCUCAUUGCCACCGUAAUAUCUAGAAUCAUAAUGAUUGUAAAUUCCUUACAUCCUGUCGCAUCAUCCCAUCAAUCACCUACACUUGUUGCAAAUGAUGUCAGUACUGCCCAAACCCACUAAUCAAUUGGUUUGGCCCCCCUAUCCUCUGCAGAACAUCAUUACCUGAAGGGAACACUGAUGGGAAUGCCACCGGCCUCAUCAACCAAUCAGAGCAGAGAGCAGCGAUGUGUUGUCCGAGCUCAAAACUGUGGCUGAUUUAAUUGAUAUGAUGGAAUUCCGGCUGAAACCUCCUAUAAAUAGUGGAAAAUAGUUUCCUUUGGGUGGAGGGGAAAUGGUUGGUUGGUCAAUGGAAAAGCAAACUCUUGCAGUUUAAUUUAUUGUAAUAAAAAAGAGGCAUUCUCUUUCUUAAAGUCGACUCAAUCAUAGUCUUUUCUAUUUUUUAUGUCAACAAUAGUUAACCUCCUAGUACCAUGAAAGUAAAAUUAUCAACUAAUAAGAAUUGAACAUACUGCAUUAUACCCAGCUUCAAACAUCAAAUGACGAUAGCUGCGGAAUACAAUGCUGCCACCAAUACUGAAAGGAGUUUUUGAAACUCAGGUGCAUUUGCUCUUGAGCAAGCCGAGGCACUCACUAAAACUUAGCACAUGCCACAUGACAUUUACAUUUUUCAUUUUAAUAAAUUCAAAACCUAGGCAUUCCUCACCAUCUCAUGAGGCAUCUCUGAAUACCACGAGAUAUGGGGCGAAUAAAGGAUGGAUCCCGUUGGGCAUGCAGCAAACCAACAUAAGAAAUAUCGCAAAAGAAAAUACCUUUGAUUGAAGACUUCCCUCUGAAUACCAAGAUGCAAAUAGAGUACCCUUGCUCAAGAAUUGUCAAGUUCAGAAGAAAUUUCUAAUGUCUGUGAUCCAUGAUCUUCUUAGUAACUUCUGUAUAUCUUGAGUCACAAGUUACUCUGGCUGUACAUUUUAGCCUCCGGAGUAGAGACUCCUAAUAUGCAAUAUCAACAGUCCUAGAAAAAACUCUACAAUAGAAUCUUUCACAGACAUAAUAUUUCUUUUUUUAAGACUAGAAAGGCCACAGACGACCAACCAGCUAAAAAGUCCAACUCUAUAGUUAAGUCUAAUGUUACGAUUCGAAAGGUAAGUUAAUGAAACUUAAGUACCUUGAGCAGUGUAGUCGCCAAAGGAUCAUCCAAAAUCUCAAGACUACAAUCAGCAAG